rnacentral:lncRNA from 1 species
AUGAGGAAACGGAUUCUCACAGGUCCUCAAGGAAAUGGACUGAAGAAUAAUGGAAGGGGAGCCAAUGGACCAGUGCAGUGGGGUUCACCCAGCACAGACGCGUCUUUGCAUACAGGGCCAGCCACUUCGCAGUUACAAAUGCUGAAAUCCUUGGGGCUCAGAGGGAGUGCAGCUUUCAAACUCUGCUGCUUGUCACCCACCAUGAGAAGUACAUCUUACAGCAUGUCCUAACAUAUAGACACAUAUUCAACUUAAACCAGUAUCCACUCUUAUUAUGUAUGACACAAGCUGUUUUCUUUCCAGUUAGUUUGAGUCCACAACAUACUAAUGAAUGGAUCCGAAACUGCAGUUUGAAAAACACUCCAUCAGGCCAACCUCUUACUGUGCAAACAGGGUAACUGAGGCCCUAAGAAGGGAACUGAAUGCCCCCAAUGCUAUGGCUUUUCAAGAGGACCUUUUUACUUAUGACCUUUCAAACAAUGCUACAUUUGUAUAGCUACUGGGGGGAAAUAGGUCUGGAUAAUGAGAGUAGGCUUUUUUGAAAGCGUGACAAGUUCGAUGAAGUUAGGUAGGCUAAGGGUCUUGAACCAGAGACUUCCUG